rnacentral:piRNA from 1 species
UGGAAGGUGAUGUAUAAAUAACCCUAAGAA